UACGGAGGAUGCGAGCGUUAUCCGGAUUUAUUGGGUUUAGAGGGUGCGCAGGCGGAUUUUUAAGUCAGCGGUCAAAUCGUGGGGCUCAACCCCAUCCAGCCGUUGAAACUGGGGAUCUAGAGUGUGCGAGAGGUAUGCGGAAUGCGUGGUGUGGCGGUGAAAUGCAUAGAUAUCACGCAGAACCCCGAUUGCGAAGGCAGCAUACCGGUGCACAACUGACGCUCAGGCACGAAAGCGUGGGUAUCGAACAGG
rnacentral:rRNA from 1 species